rnacentral:lncRNA from 1 species
UGGCGCUGGACCAGCUGUCGGCGCUCGGGCUGGGGGGCGCUGGCGACACGCCGUCGCCCCCCGACGUGUUCGCGGGCUUCGCGCCCCACCCCGCGGCCCUGGGGCCCCCGACGCUGCUGGCCGACCAGAUGAGCGUGAUCGGCAGCCGCAAGAAAAGCGUCAACAUGACCGAGUGCGUCCCGGUGCCCAGCUCCGAGCACGUCGCCGAGAUCGUGGGUCGCCAGGCUGCAAGAUCAAGGCCCUGCGGGCCAAGACAAACACCUACAUCAAGACCCCAGUGCGGGGCGAGGAGCCGGUCUUCAUCGUGACCGGCCGGAAGGAGGACGUGGAGAUGGCCAAGCGUGAGAUCCUGUCGGCGGCCGAACACUUCUCCAUCAUCCGCGCCACG